GAUGAAGAACGCAGCGAAAUGCGAUAAGUAAUGUGAAUUGCAGAAUUCAGUGAAUCAUCGAAUCUUUGAACGCAUCUUGCGCUCCUUGGUAUUCUGAGGAGCAUGCCUGUUUGAGUGUCAUUAAAUUCUCAACUACACUGACUUUGAAUUGGUGUGGCUUGGAUUUGGGGGGAAAAUUGUUGUGGGCUUUUUGUAUAGUCUGCUCCCCUGAAAUUGAUUAGCGGUACCUUUGUGGAACUGUCUACAGGUGUGAUAAUUAUCUACAUCUUAGACAUCUGCUGGAAUGCUGCUUUCUAAACCUUACUUGUAUUGACAAUCUUGACCUCAAAUCAGGUAGGACUACCCGAUGAACUUAAGCAUAUCAAUAAGCGGAGGA
rnacentral:misc_RNA from 1 species